AAAAUAUGCAACAAUAUGGAUUGCACAAAAUUAAUUGUAUGCAACAAUUUAGGAAUUUCACAAAAAAUUCACAUUUAAUUAUAAAUCGUCUUUUUUAGAAUAAAAUAUUAUUAUAUGAGUAAAACCAUAUAACUACAUAAAUGAUUAAAAUAAUUUAAUUUCUGUUUACUCAUGCCUUAAAGGCAUUCAUUAAAAACUUAUAAAUUU
rnacentral:misc_RNA from 1 species